rnacentral:rRNA from 1 species
UACGUAGGGUGCAAGCGUUAAUCGGAAUUACUGGGCGUAAAGCGUGCGCAGGCGGUUAUGUAAGACAGUUGUGAAAUCCCCGGGCUCAACCCUGGGAACUGCAUCUGUGACUGCAUAGCUAGAGUACGGUAGAGGGGGAUGGAAUUCCGCGUGUAGCAGUGAAAUGCGUAGAGAUGUGGAGGAACACCGAUGGCGAAGGCAGCCUCCUGGGCCGACACUGACGCUGAGGGCACGAAAGCGUGGGGAGCAAACAGG